rnacentral:rRNA from 1 species
UAGGGAAUCUUCGGCCUUUUGGGGGCAACCCUGACCGAGCAACGCCGCGUGAGUGAAGAAGGUUUUCGGAUCGUAAAGCUCUGUUGUAAGUCAAGAACGAGUGUGAGAGUGGAAAGUUCACACUGUGACGGUAGCUUACCAGAAAGGGACGGCUAACUACGUGCCAGCAGCCGCGGUAAUACGUAGGUCCCGAGCGUUGUCCGGAUUUAUUGGGCGUAAAGCGAGCGCAGGCGGUUUGAUAAGUCUGAAGUUAAAGGCUGUGGCUCAACCAUAGUUCGCUUUGGAAACUGUCAAACUUGAGUGCAGAAGGGGAGAGUGGAAUUCCAUGUGUAGCGGUGAAAUGCGUAGAUAUAUGGAGGAACACCGGUGGCGAAAGCGGCUCUCUGGUCUGUAACUGACGCUGAGGCUCGAAAGCGUGGGGAGCGAACAGGAUUAGAUACCCUGGUAGUCCACGCCGUAACGAUGAGUGCUAGGUGUUGGAUCCUUUCCGGGAUUCAGUGCCGCAGCUAACGCAUUAAGCACUCCGCCUGGGGAGUACGACCGCAAGGUUGA